GUACAAAAAUAGCUACUUCCGGUUUACACAAGGUCACUUCCGGUUGUUUUUUUUAAGGUUAAAUGGUUUGAUACCUUUCGCCAAAAGUCUCAUGGAUAUAUCAUGUAUAAAUAUGAGCUGAGAGCAAAGGUCAAAAACUAGAACGUCAAAUUAAUCUAUGACCUUGAGAUCAAUUUCAAGGUCAUAAACCAAGGACCUCAAAUCAAAAGACCAUAGGACUUAAUUAUAUUUGGUUAAUCAGUUAAAUCACCAUACACGUAUUUUUAAAUACAAGAGGGGAGAAAACUCACUUUUACGUUCAACGUACCCUUGCAAUCAAAAUUUACGUGUUACGACAUGUCGCAACUAACUAUUUAGAAAAAAUAAUUUGUCGAUAUCUUAUACAGUUUCUGGAAAUUAGUGGAAAUAAGCCAAAUUCAAAAAUUGGAAUAUGACCUUGACCUUUGACCUUGACCUAAUUUUUAUUUUUUUGGACCAAGGACCUCAAAUCAAAAGAUCCUUGGUCUUUAGCACUUAUGGUUUACAAGAUAGAAAUGCAUAUCACUUAUAUCAAAUGCAUAAGGG
rnacentral:lncRNA from 1 species